GAUUUUCGCAAUGCCCGAAAGGGUGACGAGGCGACGCCGCGUGCGGGAAGAAGGCCUUCGGGUUGUAAACCGCUGUCGGGAGUUAAGAAAUGUAAGGAUGUUAAUAGCAUCUUUGCUUGACUAAGGCUCCGGAGGAAGCCACGGCUAACUCUGUGCCAGCAGCCGCGGUAAUACAGAGGCGGCAAGCGUUGUUCGGAAUUAUUGGGCGUAAAGAGCACGUAGGCGGCUAUGUAAGUCGGUUGUGAAAGCCUUCCGCUCAACGGGGGAACAGCAUCCGAUACUGCAUGGCUUGAGUGCGGGAGGGGAGAGUGGAACUUCUGGUGGAGCGGUGAAAUGCGUAGAUAUCAGAAGGAACGCCGGCGGCGAAAGCGGCUCUCUGGCCCAUAACUGACGCUGAGUGUGCGAAAGCUAGGGGAGCAAACGGGAUUAGAUACCCCGGUAGUCCUAGCCGUAAACGAUGGGCACUAAGUAGAGGGGUUUUAAUC
rnacentral:rRNA from 1 species